rnacentral:siRNA from 1 species
GUAUCUGUUACUAAUUGGGCCUA